UCCGCGCCAUCAGAGAGUUUGAUCCUGGCUCAGAUUUGAACGCUGGCGGCAGGCCUAACACAUGCAAGUCGAGCGGAAACGAGAAGUAGCUUGCUACUUCGGCGUCGAGCAGCGGACGGGUGAGUAAUGCCUAGGAAGUUGCCCAGUAGAGGGGGAUACCAUUGGAAACGAUGGCUAAUACCGCAUAUUCUCUUUGGAGCAAAGCAGGGGACCUUCGGGCCUUGCGCUAUUGGAUACGCCUAGGUGGGAUUAGCUAGUUGGUGAGGUAAUGGCUCACCCAAGGCAACGAUCCCUAGCUGGUCUGAGAGGAUGAUCAGCCACACUGGAACUGAGACACGGUCCAGACUCCUACGGGAGGCAGCAGUGGGGAAUAUUGCACAAUGGGCGAAAGCCUGAUGCAGCCAUGCCGCGUGUAUGAAGAAGGCCUUCGGGUUGUAAAGUACUUUCAGUCGUGAGGAAGGGGGUAAGUUUAAUACGCUUAUCUCUUGACGUUAGCGACAGAAGAAGCACCGGCUAACUCCGUG
rnacentral:rRNA from 1 species